AGUCCUGAGGUCUCAGCUUUCCAGGGAGAAGUGGAGAGGCCAGGAGCCGGGCUGCAGCCAGGGCACAGCCAGAUGGACUGAAGUGCCCCACAAACCUUGAAGAAACAUGGCUUCUGAAACUUAUGACGGUGCCUUUUCCUGCAUCUGCUAGAUGCAGAUGGUGAAGCUGAUUGUCUACGGCCAGGAUUGACCUGGUCCUGCUGUGGACGUUUAAGGGAUUCCUAUUAUGAACAAAUGACUCAAACAUCCGCCAGAAUUCAGUGCAGCCUGGGGAAGAAAGCCCAAAGGCAGGAGCAGAUGGAAGCCCUACCCAGCCUGCAGGGGCAGGAGGGACCAGCACAGGCCCCAGGAUACAUCGUGCCCCUGAGUGAAGCAAGGGCAUGUGGCUCUGUAGACCCAGGUGGCUCCCAGAGCUAGGGGCUGAGGGUGAGGGGCGCCCUGGGCCAGGGAGAGGCAUUCAGAGUACAAAUGCAAUCUCGGGUGUGACCUUGAGGACACAGAAACCAGUUGUGGAGGACACUGAAGAUAAGGACCCAGAAGCCAGAGGCUUCAUCCAUGAACCCUCCAUGGAUACUGAAGAGGAAUAUUCAGGCUUUCCCUGGAUGGGACCACGGGCAGCUCUGAGCAGGAGGAGGUGCAGGGUCUGUAAAGCACAUCACAGAAGGGAGGGCGCAGUGUCAGAGACGUCUGCCAUCGGGAACCAGAAAGCACACACGUGCACACACACACACCACACAAGCUUAUAUGCACAUACAGCACACACAUACUCCACAUACCAC